AGGGCGUAUGGUGGAUGCCUUGGCUCUGAGAGGCGAAGAAGGACGUGAUAAGCUGCGAUAAGCUGCGGGUAUUGGCAUAUACGAAUUGAUCCGCAGAUUUCCGAAUGGGGAAACCUAUCAUAUUUUUAUAUGAUAUUACUUUAUAGUAAAGCGAACCUAGAGAACUGAAACAUCUAAGUAUCUAGAGGAAAAGAAAACAAUAGUGAUUCUGUUAGUAGUGGCGAGCGAAAACGGAAUAGCCCAAACCAUUAUAGUCUAGGCUGUAAUGGGGUUAUAGGUCUACAAUAAAAUAUUAUUUUUUUAUAGCAGAAUGAUUUGGAAAGAUCAAUCAUAGAAGGUGAUAAUCCUGUAUGCAAAAUGAAAAAAUUAUAUGAGUAGUAACCUGAUUAGGACGGGACACGGGAAAUCUUGUCUGAAUUAGCCGGGACCAUCCGGUAAGGCUAAAUACUACUCAGAGACCGAUAGUGAACUAGUACCGUGAGGGAAAGGUGAAAAGUACUUCGAAUAGAAGGGUGAAAUAGAUCCUGAAACCAUACGCUUACAAACUGUCGGAGCUUUUUCGUGAAGUGACGGCGUGCCUUUUGCAUAAUGAACCUACGAGUUAAUUUUUCCGGCAAGGUUAAGUAGUUUAGCUAUGGAGCCGUAGCGAAAGCGAGUCUUAAUAGGGCGUAUAGUCGGAAGGAUUAGACGCGAAACCGAGUGAUCUAUCCAUGAGCAGGUUGAAGCUGUGGUAACACAUAGUGGAGGACCGAACCGGUUGACGUUGAAAAGUCUUCGGAUGACUUGUGGAUAGGGGUGAAAGGCCAAUCAAACUCGGAGAUAGCUCGUACUCCCCGAAAUGCAUUUAGGUGCAGCAUCGUGUUAAAUAAUACAGAGGUAGAGCUACUGAUUGGAUGAAGGGGUUUCAUCACCUACUUAUUCCUGACAAACUCCGAAUGCUGUUAUUAUGUUUCACGGUAGUGAGGGCAUGGGUGCUAAGGUCCAUGUCCAAGAGGGAAACAACCCAGAUCAUCAGUUAAGGCCCCUAAGUAUAUAUUAAGUUGAAUAAACGAAGUUCAGAUACUAAGACAGCUAGGAUGUUAGCUUGGAAGCAGCUAUUCAUUUAAAGAGUGCGUAACAGCUCACUAGUCGAGUAACUUUGCGCCGAAAAUGUACCGGGGCUAAGCAUAAUACCGAAGCUAUGGGUUUUAUAUUUAUAUAUAGGGCGGUAGGGGAGCGUUCUAACAGGGAUGAAGGUAGACCGUGAGGACUGCUGGACUGGUUAGAAGUGAGAAUGCCGGCAUGAGUAACGUUUGAGGGUGAGAAUCCCUCAUGCCGUUUGACCAAGGUUUCCUGGGCAAGGUUCGUCCACCCAGGGUUAGUCAGGACCUAAGGCGAGGCCGAAAGGCGUAGUCGAUGGACAACAGGUUGAUAUUCCUGUACCACCAUAUAGAGCGAUGGAGUGACGGAGAAGGAUAGUAUAUCCCGGUUAUUGGAUUCCGGGCUAAGCACAAAGAGGGUAAGGUUGGCAAAUCCGCCUUGCAUAACCUUGAAGUGUGAUGGGGAGUGAACGGUUCGCCUAGUAACGAAGUAUAUGACUCCAUGCUUCCAAGAAAAGCUUCUAGCACUAUUUAUAUGGUGCCUGUACCUAGAACGAACACACGUGGUCAAGGAGAGAAUCCUAAGGCAAGCGAGAUAACUGUAGCUAAGGAACUCUGCAAAAUAACCCCGUAAGUUAGCGAGAAGGGGUGCUCAUAGCAAUAUGAGCCGCAGUGAAGAGGAAGGGGCAACUGUUUAGCAAAAACACAGCUCUCUGCUAAGUCGUAAGACGACGUAUAGGGGGUGACGCCUGCCCAGUGCUGGAAGGUUAAGGGGAUUUGUUAGCAUUAGCGAAGCUUUGAACCGAAGCCCCAGUGAACGGCGGCCGUAACAAUAACGGUCCUAAGGUAGCGAAAUUCCUUGUCAGGUAAGUUCUGACCCGCACGAAAGGCGUAAUGAUCCCUUCGCUGUCUCGGCUGCAGACUCGGUGAAAUUUUAGUACCUGUGAAGAUGCAGGUUACCCGCAACUAGACGGAAAGACCCCAUGGAGCUUUACUAUAGCUUGAUAUUGGGUUUUGAUAUAGCAUGUAUAGGAUAGGUGGGAGACUUUGAAGCAGCGACGCUAGUUGUUGUGGAGUCAUCCUUGGAAUACCACCCUUGCUAUGUCGGAAUCCUAACCUAGAUCUGUUAGCCAGAUCAGAGACAGUGUCAGGUGGGUAGUUUGACUGGGGCGGUCGCCUCCUAAAAUGUAACGGAGGCGCCCAAAGGUACCCUCAGUAUGGUCGGAAAUCAUACAUAGAGCGCAAAGGUAGAAGGGUGCUUGACUGUGAGACUUACAAGUCGAACAGGAGCGAAAGCUGGGCUUAGUGAUCCGGCGGUCCCGUGUGGAAGGGCCGUCGCUCAACGGAUAAAAGUUACCCUGGGGAUAACAGGCUGAUCUCCCCCAAGAGUUCACAUCGACGGGGAGGUUUGGCACCUCGAUGUCGGCUCAUCGCAUCCUGGAGCUGAAGUUGGUUCCAAGGGUUGGGCUGUUCGCCCAUUAAAGCGGUACGCGAGCUGGGUUCAGAACGUCGUGAGACAGUUUGGUCCCUAUCUGUUGUGGGCGUAGGAAGUUUGAAGAGAUCUGUCCCUAGUACGAGAGGACCGGGAUGGACACACCUCUGGUGCUCCAGUUGUCACGCCAGUGGCACAGCUGGGUAGCUAUGUGUGGAAAUGAUAAUCGCUGAAGGCAUCUAAGCGAGAAGCAUACUUUAAGAUGAGACUUCCCAUCCUUCGUGGAGUAAGACCCCUUGA
rnacentral:rRNA from 1 species